UCGUGUUACACGCCACGUUCGUCCCUACCUCCACAGAGAAGCUUUCCUCCCUCAUGCCUGGAUCCCCUUCUCCUCCCUCAUGCGACGGCUGCUUCACCUGCUUCUUCCUCCUGGGGUCCUUCUCCGGCAAGAGACCACCCGCCUCGUGGUCAGUGUCUCUGGUGUCGACUCGUCUAGGGUUCUGUCAAGGUCGGCGUCGUUUAGGUCCCCGUCAAGCUUCGUCAAGGUCAGCAUCCACAAGAAUGAUGUUCCCUAAAUAAUGUUCCUUGGAAAAUGUUGGCACAAGAAACAAACCUAUUGAAGAUCCAACAAAUAUUGGCACACCUAUUGAAGAUCCUUUGCUAGUUCAAGCACUCGAACUGCAUGAAGCACAUACCAGUAAGUUUUCGAAACUAGAAACUUCAACUUGGCAACAACGUGUGAACAAAUCUUUCAAAUCUGGGACACUAGUAAUUCAACAACAGCAAAAAAAGGCAAGUAAGCAGGUCCUCUUUUCGAACGGAAUAGAGAGUGAUUUCU